rnacentral:lncRNA from 1 species
UUUUUUGCAGAGUGGAGUUUCAUUGAGAGCUAACCUGCCAAUCGAGAGGCAUGCCAAUAAUGUUUACGUCCGGGUGACUUUUGAUCAAUUUAGCAAAGUUAUGUACAAAGCUGGUGCAUAUGUGCUGGAAGAACUAGAACUGAACAUAUGUUAGCAUUUGGAUUUUACAGUGUCCAAUUGCUAGUAAUGUACAUAUUUGCUGCAGGUUAAUUAGUUGGUCUAUAGUACGCGAUGGUAACUUGGUUAUCUGCUGCUGACUAAUUAUCUGAACAUUGUUAUGGUGUUGGCAGACUAUACCAGUGCGUAUACUAUCAUAGCUUUGGUUUAAACUACAAACUAUCCGAAAUUCUGAUUUACGAUGUGUGGCUUUGAGUGUUGCUAGCUUUUGUUGGAGAUGGAAUACCAAAGAUCACUCUGAAAAGUUUGUUUUUUACAAAACCUUUAGGCCCUGAGUUGAAUUUUGUUUUUGUUGGCAUAAUAGAUGAAAAUGUAGCCUUGGCUUCAUAUUUUGGAAGUUGAAGUAUAAGAUUAUAUAUAUAUUUUUUUUGCGGGAAAAGUACAAGAUUAUAUUACCAUUUUCAGUAUGCCUUACUCGCUAAUGCAGAUGUGCUAGGCGUUUUAUUUAUUUUUGAUUUAAAUUUACAGCGCUAAAUAAAUCCGCUAGUUAUCAUGCGAAUCAUGUUUUAUACUAUGUGAUUGUUUAACUGGACCAAAUGGGCGGUACAGAUUAACUGACUAAGCGUCCAUUGGAGAGACUAAUCUCAUCGUUGCACUGGAUGGCACCUUACUACUAGAAUCAGAACUUGUGGGGUGGGCUGGACUGAUCUGUUUGCGUCAGUCUCGAGCGUGAACUGAUAGUACAGUUGAGGAGGGCACGUCAGUUUUGGUCGUUUUUUUAUUUGAGAGAGAGAGAAUUUUGAUCGUUGUUAACACAGUGCACGCAUGCCCAUUGUUCAUCUCUUUUCCGGGGUAGAAAUCACAUAUUUGACCUGAGGCAGAAAUCAAUUCACAAACUAACCUGCUUUCAAAAAAAUUUCACUCUGCUGACCCUUUCGUGUGGCGCCCGACAGCUGGGCGUCGCACCCUACUGUGCAGCGCCCAUCACUUAGGCGCCACACUUCCUGCCAGCGUGGCAGCCCUGGUCCAGCUGCGGCCCCACACGCACAUGUGCAGCGCCUAAGUCUUAGGCGCCACACAUAUAAUGUGCAGCGCCUAGCUCGUGGGCGCUGCACAGUCUGUGUUCCACUUGGGCUGGCCCCACCCUCUCUCCCCUCCCACCCCCACCCCACACACCCCCACCCCACCCAAACCCUAAGGCUUGCGGCCCUCCUCUCUUCCCCUCUCCCCCCCUCUCAAAUCCUUCUCAAAUCUUGCAAAUCCGGAGUAUUUGACCGUGGAUUUCGAAGCCAACCCCUCCCUUAAGGUAAUCUCCUCCCAUCCCCUCGUUUUCAUCCAUAGGAAUUGUCACAUUUGCUCAAAUCUUGCUAGUUUGGGGGAAACCCUAGUUUUGACUUGGAUUUGCAAAUUUGUGUUGAAUGAUGUUAUGUUUCUUUGCUAACUUGGGUUGGUUAAGCUUCCAUAGUAUGCUAGGGUUAGGGUUAUGUGUGUUUGAUGUUGGUGUUAGGGUUAUGCUAUGGUUAUGGUUGUUUUAUAUGUUAGGGCAUAUGUGUGCAAAUAUUUUUCUUAAGUAUUUACUUGAUAUAUGUGUGUUUUUGAUUAUUGUAGGGAUGGGGAGAACAUAUGUUUAUGUUCAUCAUGUGGAUAGAGAGGCCUUUUUGAAAGGCAAUGUUGAGACGGACCCGAAUGAGCUUGACAUGGUGUUUGAGAGUAGUCCUAGCUAUGCGGAGCUUUUGGAACAAGUGAGGAAAGAUUUGAAUUGGACGGACCCAAGUGACGUUGUUGAGUUUGAGGGAAGGCAUAAUGUUGGUUUUGGAAUGCACAUCCGUUGGAAGACAAUGCGUGUGAACUCCGAGCAACGUUGGGUUGCAUACAAGGAGACGGUUGCCGAAUCUCUAGACAAGGCUCUUGAGUUAUUUGUCUUCAAGAAGGUUGAGUCUACUUUGAAUUUAGACUUGAACCGGAACCCCUCCCCGUUGGUUGCUAGCACUCCCCCACCCAUGAACCAAGAUCAAAUGAGUGAACCUCAAUUCACGCAACAAGAUUGGCCAACAUUGAGCCCGACUCCAAACAACCAAAAUGAAGGUUUUGAAGAGGAGAAUGAUGAGUACGAGGAGGAUGACAACGAAGUUGACCUCCAUGACAACAAUGUGGGUGAUCUCGACCAAUAUCAUGUGCAAGAGACCAUGGACCAAUCCAUCCCUUUUUCCCGUGCAUAUGCAUCAGACUCGGAUGACGAUGGUCCCGAUGAAGAAGUUGAUGAGGAGGGGUUCACGCCGAAGGAGGCCGAAGCAUUCAAGAAGGUAUUCGGGCGGGAUCACAAGACACCAUUGUUCAAGGAGCUUAGUCUCGCGGAUGAAGCCGUUGUGGAUGGUGGCAAAUGCAUAUCUCUUGGAGCUAGGCCAAGUUCUCACCGUGAUUUGGAAGACGACAAGAACGGGAUAUAUCCCGGUUGUGAGUUUCAAUCCUUCUUGGAAUUGAAGAUGUGGCUCGACAACUACUCGGUUACACAUUAUCGUCCACAUAAAGUGGCCAACUCGGAUGUUAAUGUGCGUUACACGGUCAAAUGUGAAGUGCCAACAUGUCCAUGGAUUGUGCGUGCAAGGCCAUGGAAAGGAGGUCCCACUUGGCGCAUAGUGAGUUGUCUACCAACUCACAUGUGCCGGCACAAGAAUGCGGAUGACAAGCUUGUGCACCAACAACACAGACAACUCGCGUCCGAGUUCAUUGCUUACAGGCUGUCCAACCAAAUAUCCACACUUCCAAUAAUGAGCAUCAAGAGUGUCAUUGACCUUGUGAAAGCCAUCUUUCAUUACAAGGUGAAGUACGGCAAGGUAUGGAAGGCGAAGCAAGCCGCAUUCAAGAUGUUGUAUGGCAAUUGGGAGGAAGCAUACAACCGACUCCCUAGGUUGUUGUUAGCUAUGGCGGCCACAAACCCAGGCAUGGUUCACGUGGUUGAGCCUCAUGGGCACCAAACUUUGAUUCAUAAUGGGAGGACCGUCCGAGUAUUUGGCCGUGCAUUUUGGGCCUUUGAGCAAUGCGUGAGGGCUUUUGAGCAUUGUCGGCCCGUCAUCGCCAUUGAUGGCACGUUCUUGACCGGACAAUACAAGGGCACUUUAUUGGUUGCAAUAGCAAGUGAUGCCAAUAACCGGGUGUUGCCUUUGGCUUUCGCUUUGGUUGAGGUGGAGAACAAUGAUAACUGGGAGUGGUUCUUGUGUCAACUGAGAACAAGGGUAUUACCGGCUGAAAGGGAAAUUUGUGUCAUAUCGGAUCGCCAUGCUGGAAUUCUAAAUGCGGUGGUGAUUGACAUUCCCGGACAUAGAAAGUUGCAUCAUCGAUGGUGCAUGAGGCACUUUUGUGCAAACUUCUAUAGGGCAUGUGGUAUCAAGGAGUUGGCCGAUGAUCUUCAGGAUUGUUGUCUCGCUUUCACCAACAAGCGGUUUUCCACAUUGUUCAAUGCAUUGCUCAGACACAAGAAACUUGACCCCGGCGGUCAGGAGUUUCUCAAUAAGAACAUUGCCGAAAGGAAUAUGUGGGCACGUGCUUUCGAUGAAGAUGGCCGGAGGUACGGUCAAAUGACAAGCAAUAUGGCAGAAUGCUUCAAUAAGGUGCUCAAGGGUGUACGUGCAUUACCCGUGACGGCAAUAGUUCAAUACACAUUUGACAAGAUGAAUGAAUACUUUUUGAAGCACUCAAUGGAGACUGAUAAGCAGAUUGCUGGUGAGAACAAGGAUAAGCACAAGUACAAUUUCCCACCAAAGGUUGAAGAAUGGUUGGAAUUUCAAUCACGAAAGGCAGACUCCGAAGAAGCUGUUCUAUAUGACGACAACGAGUGGAAGUAUGAGGUGAAAGAGCCCGGAGGAACCACAAAUGAUGGCCGCCAGCACGGAGGCCGGGCUUUCAAGGUCUCCCUAACACGGUGUGAUUGCAGCUGCAUGAGGCCGUCUUUGCUUCAUCUCCCAUGCUCGCACUUGUUAAAUGCAUCCCGGGUUAGGAAUGUGGACGUCAAUCACCCUCUAACCGCGAGGGAGUCCGAGUUCUCAAUCAUGACGGUAAAGAAGACAUGGACUCCACGGUUCCAGCCAUACUUGGACCAAUCACAAUGGCCGGAGUAUCAUGGAGUUCAACUAUGGCCGGACCCGGAAUUGAAGGUCGUUAGCCGGGGAAGACGUAAGACUAAGCGUGUUAGAGGUGACAUGGACGGAUGGGGCCGUGGUGGCGGUGGAGAAUACGACACCAGCCAAUUCCAAGAGCCUCGUGAGGAAUCCCGUUGUGGGGGCUGCAGUAAUGGGGGACACAACACAAGAACUUGUCCCAAACCAAGAAAGAGAUCAAAGAAAAAUGGUUCAAGCACAAGCCAAGCAAAUGAUAUCCAACCAAGUGAACCAAGGGGUAGCCAACCAAGUCAAACAAGUGGUGGAGUGCCAAACCACUCAAAUCAAACAAGUCAACGAGGAACUAGGCAACAAAGAGGGAGUCAACUUGGUCUUAGAAGAGGUCGUGGUGGUGGUAGAGGCCGUGGUGAAGGUCUUGGCCGUGGUGGUGGUAGAGGCCGUGGUGAUGGUCUUGGCCGUGGUGAUGGUCUUGGCCGUGGUGGUGGUAGAGGUCGUGGUGAUGGUCUUGGCCGUGGUGCCGGUAGAGGCCGUGGUGGUGGUGGUGGUAGAGGCCGUGGUGGUGGUGGUAGAGGCCGCGAUGGUGGUGGUGUAGGGCGUGGUGCUGGUGGAGGCCGUGGUGGUGAUCUUGGCCUUGGCGGCGGCCGUAGUGGAGGAAUGUUCUCUCGGCUCAAUGGACCAUUGCCGUAUGUGUCUUACUGUGAUCUUGUUCUUUUGGCUCAAUGCUUGUGUUGUCAUUUUGUAUUGUGUGACUAACUAUUAUAUUGCCAUUUUCGUAGGUAUGGAAACAAUGAAGGGGGUGGAGGACACGGAGGGGGAAGGUGAGACCCCUUGGUGGUGCGAGGAGGGAGAAGAAUAAGAAGAAGAAGAGAGGAAGAAGAAGAAACUACAUGGAGACCCUAUGUGUGUAUGACUAUGUGUGUAUGACUAUGUGAGGGGACUAAUAUUUCCGUGUAUGAUUAUGUGAGACCCUAUGUGAUUUGGACAAGUAUAUGUGCUAUGUGUGUAUGAGUAUGUGAUUUGGACUAGUAUUUCUGUGUUUUGGAUGUGAUUAUGUGGCAUCUUUAUGAAUCACAAAACAAAAAAAAC